rnacentral:lncRNA from 1 species
CUCCGAAUGUGGGUGAUAGAAGGCAGUGUGGUCUGAGUUCUGGGCAGUUGGCAUGGCUCCAGCCUCCCACAGAGGCACCAGGAAGAAGCCUCCCGUCCCAGUUUUUCUUAGACUCUGCAGGGCUGGGCACAGGGAGGGCCGGGCCCACGGGGCUUAGUUACUUCUUAUCGGCUUAUCUACUACUUCUUGUCUGAGGAUCCCAGGCAUGCUCAGGGCGCGGAGAACGCACUGAGUUCCAAGGACCAAGCCCUUUCCAGCAUCUCAGGAGUUGUGAUCCUCACGCUGGGCCUCUCCCAGGGUGGCCAUCAGUGGCAAUCUGGGCUUUAUGCUUUCUGUUCAAGUAAGAGAGGAGCUCGUCUCCCAAACGUGGGAUGAAAAUCCUUCCUGUCAGUCUUACUGGAGCAGCUUAUCACCCCAUGACCAAUGGCUGUCCCCAGACAGUUUGGGGCACUUGUGGAGCCAGAAAGCCGGUCUUCCUGUUCCUGGCUAGAACCCUCUUCUGCUAUAGUGACCUUGGCGACCCCAGUGCAGCUCUCCAGCCUCUGGCUCUUAGUCUCCGCCACCAUAGUGUCCCGGGUUCCUGCUCCCAAGAACAAAUCCAGAUGGAGGUGAAGGGAGACAAAGCCCUGCUCCUGGUGGAAUGGGAAGUGGGACUCACCUCUGUUUGUAAACAAGAAGGAAACUGAUUCCACCUGAACUUCACUGAAGCCUGAAUUAUCCUUUUUA